CCAACUCCGAAUGUGGCCUGAGCCAUCGGAUCUCAAGACACGCUGAGUGCAUUCACACUUGGAGAUGACCACUUGUGAAAGGAUCACCCAAGACGCAUGUUAAUGCCAGGCCGCUCUGAUGGCCGAGCGGAAUAAACUGCCAACCCACUCGUCAUGUGGCUGGGAGGUUCGUAUCCCAGACUCGCCGUAACCGGUCACGGCUAGAGCGUCCACGGGCAAUUGUCGAGAAAGAGACAGGAAAGGCAGGGGAGAGAGAGAGAGGAUGGCAUGCAGCAAAGGGCCCAGGCCGGA